UUUUCUUUUUUUUCUUUUUUUUUUCUUCUUUCUCUCUCUUUUUUUUAGCAGGAUCUUCCUCGAUACCUCUUUCGUUCACAAUAAACCUCAGCAGUUUACCGGACAGCACUCCACAAGUGCACUGAUUCGGACUCAACCUCAGUCUGAGUUGUCUCAACCGGUCAAACAACUUGCCCCGGUCUACCGGAUACCCCUCUUCUACUUGGGACUUUGCUAUCAUGUCAUCAACAUAGCAUUCGAUUCCACGAUGAAUCAUAUCAUGAAACAAA
rnacentral:lncRNA from 1 species